AUGCCUCUCCUUAAUGUCAAUAUGCCUUGUCCAUUGCUGUUCUGGUUAGUGUUUAUUGGCUUAUUUCACUGUAGAGCCUCUAGCCCUGCUCAUUAUACCUUAUCCAACCUCUCAGUUCCUCCACCCACACAUGCUAUGACAUCUUCUGGUUUCAACGAUGUUUCUAGAGACAAUAUCUCUCUCAUCAUCCUUAAAUGCCUAGGUUUACCUCCACUGUAUUCACAUCCUACCAUACUUUUGUCUGUACAUUAUACCUUGAAGCUAUUUUAUCGCCCCCAGAAACCUGCUCCUUUUUCUCUCUAUUCCGGACGUCACAGACGACCAAUUCUUAUAGCUUUUAGCCGUACCCUUAUCCUCAUCCUUCUCUGUUCAUCUGGUGAUGUUGAGGUGAAUCCAGGCCCUGCAGUGCCUAGCUCCACUCCUACUCCCCAGGCGCUCUCUUUUGAUGACUUCUGUAACCGUAAUAGCCUUGGUUUCAUGCAUGUUAACAUUAGAAGCCUCCUUCCUAAGUUUGUUUUAUUCACUGAUUUAGCACACUCUGCCAACCCGGAUGUCCUAGCCGUGACUGAGUCCACCAAAAACUCUGAAAUCUUCAUCCCUAACUACAACGUUUUCAGACAAGAUAGAACGGCCAAAGGGGGCGGUGUUGCAAUCUAUUGUAGAGAUAGCCUGCAGAGUUCUGUCCUACUAUCCAGUUCUGUUCCCAAACAAUUUGAACUUCUACUUUUAAAAAUCCAUCCCUCUAAAAACAAGUCUCUUAUCGUUGCCGCCUGCUAUAGACCACCCUCGGCCCCCAGCUGUGCUCUGGACACCAUAUGUGAACUGAUUGCCCCCCAUCUAUCUUCAGAGCUCGUGCUACUAGGUGACCUAAACUGGGACAUGCUUAACACCCCAGCCAUCCUACAAUCCAAGCUUGAUGCCCUCAAUCUCACACAAAUUAUUAAUGAACCCACCAGGUACCACCCCAAAACCGUAAACACUGGCACCCUCAUAGAUAUCAUCCUAACCAACUUGCCUUCUAAAUACACCUCUGCUGUUUUUAACCAAGAUCUCAGUGAUCACUGCCUCAUUGCCUGCAUCCGUAAUGGGUCAGCGGUCAAACGACCUCCACUCAUCACUGUCAAACGCUCCCUGAAACAUUUCAGCGAGCAAGCCUUUCUAAUCGAUCUGGCCCUGGUAUCCUGGAAGGAUAUUGACCUCAUCCCGUCAGUAGAGGAUGCCUGGUUAUUUUUUUUAAAUGCCUUCCUCACCAUCCUAAAUAAGCAUGCCCCAUUCAAAAAAUUUACAACUAGGAACAGAUAUAGCCCUUGGUUCUCCCCAGACCUGACUGCCCUUAACCAACACAAAAACAUCCUGUGGCGUUCUGCAUUAGCAUCGAACAGCCCCCGUGAUAUGCAACUUUUCAGGGAAGUUAGAAACCAAUAUACACAUGCAGUUAGAAAAGCCAAGGCUAGCUUUUUCAAGCAGAAAUUUGCUUCCUGCAACACAAAUUGA
rnacentral:lncRNA from 8 species